CAGCAUUUAAAACAAAGGUGGUAUGAGAAGCAGGUGAACUUUGAAUAACAGAGCAGAAACUUCAGGUGUGGAAGGACAAUGACAGAUGGCGAGGAAGCGACAUGAACUCAGUGCUUUGGAGCCAAUGUGGGGUGUGUCUUCUCUGCAGGAACAGGGCCUGCUCCUCAACACUGGGGACAUUGGCUGCCUUGUCACCACUAUGCCCCUCACACCUACAAGAGGGCUGGGCCACCACACAUGAUCAAUAACCAUCUGUUAAGUCUGGAAACAGAGGACUGAAUGUCCAUCUCCCAAAGUGGCUGGCUGAUAAAGUCAAGCGUGAUGGCCUCCACUGGAAUGGCAAGUGUGUCCCGGAGUUCCCAGCUCUCAGCAGCCUCAAUAUGCUCUGAGGUCAUUUGAGGGAGAACACCAAGCCAGCCAUGGAGGAUCCCCAGCACCCCAUUCCUGGAAAGGACCAGAGCAACUCUCCAGCCUGCAACACUGCCACAUCCCGGCUCAGAGCCACACUGUGGAAUGGUUAGGGGUUAGGAGGAAGGUCGGUGUCUCUGCAUCUUAAUUUUAUUUUAGUAGCAUUGGAACAGGGAGACCACUUUGCUCAACCCACGCAGUGGGUUGCAUAUGCUUUAUUUUAAAGCAUUGCUGCAUUUAAAUAUAAGCCACACAGCUCCCAGGAGCAAUUUCACUUAGCUAGUAAAACAGGCAUGAGGUUAGCAGAAGGGCCUGGUCCCUGGGGUCUGCAGGAAACCUUCGAGAAGCAGGAUGUCAUCCUGGUGUCAGUGGCUAAUCCGAUGCCUGGGCAGCUGGGUUGGAUUCUUGAUGGUAAAUGGGGACUUUUCCAAGAUUUUUGCAGCUCCCACAAUGCUUUGCAUGAGCUUGAGGCUUUUAACUGUUCCCCUCCCCUGUAAAUGACAUCUCAGAGUCCUGUGGCUACCUCGACCCGAGUGCUGACAAAUGGAAAUGGCUGUGGUGGCAUUGUGAAGGCAGAAGGGUGGCCCAGUGUGCAGCUCCCAUCCUCUUCUCACCUCUAAGGGGACCAAGGCACAGAAAUGCAAAGGAACCCGGUCAUAAAUUCAUUCACCCAGUAAGCUAAGCUAUCUCCCCUACUCUGUUCCUGAAAGAGCUUUUAACAGAAAAAAAUGAACAAGACAAAGUUCUUGGGUGGCAAAAUCUCCCCUUAGGGUCCCUUUUCCAUCCCAAUCCCCAAGCUCAUGACAGCAGCUAUCCAGGCUUUGUUUGGAUUUUUGCAGUCAAACCCAAUUUGUGACUGUGAGAUGAAAGGCUCUAAGAUUUACAG
rnacentral:lncRNA from 1 species